GGGCCCGCACAAGCGGAGGAACAUGUGGUUUAAUUCGAUGAUACGCGAGGAACCUUACCCGGGCUCGAACGGCUAUUGAGUAUAUGUGAAAGCAUAUAGACCGCAAGGACAAUAGUCGAGGUGCUGCAUGGUUGUCGUCAGCUCGUGCCGUGAGGUGUCGGCUUAAGUGCCAUAACGAGCGCAACCCUUAUCGAUAGUUACCAGCGGGUCAAGCCGGGGACUCUAUAGAGACUGCCGCCGUAAGGUGCGAGGAAGGUGGGGAUGACGUCAAAUCAGCACGGCCCUUACGUCCGGGGCGACACACGUGUUACAAUGGGGGCUACAAAGGGGCGCUACACAGCAAUGUGAUGCCAAUCUCAAAAAACCCUCCCAGUUCGGAUUGGAGUCUGCAACCCGACUCCCAUGAAGCUGGAUUCGCUAGUAAUCGCGCAUCAGCCCAUGGCG
rnacentral:rRNA from 1 species